rnacentral:rRNA from 1 species
UACGUAGGCAGCAAGCGUUGUUCGGAGUUACUGGGCGUAAAGGGUGUGUAGGCGGUUGUUUAAGUUUGGUGUGAAAUCUCCCGGCUCAGCUGGGAGGGUGCGCCGAAUACUGAAUGACUAGAGUGCGGGAGAGGAAAGUGGAAUUCCUGGUGUAGCGGUGAAAUGCGUAGAUAUCAGGAGGAACACCGGUGGUGUAGACGGCUUUCUGGACCGUAACUGACGCUGAGACACGAAAGCGUGGGUAGCAAACAGG